rnacentral:rRNA from 1 species
GUGGGGAAUAUUGGGCAAUGGGCGAAAGCCUGACCCAGCAACGCCGCGUGAAGGAAGAAGGUUUUCGGAUUGUAAACUUCUGUCCUCAGGGAAGAAGGAAGUGACGGUACCUGAGGAGGAAGCCCCGGCUAACUACGUGCCAGCAGCCGCGGUAAUACGUAGGGGGCGAGCGUUGUCCGGAAUGACUGGGCGUAAAGGGCGCGUAGACGGUUUUUUAAGUCUGGAGUGAAAGUCCUGCUUUCAAGGUGGGAAUUGCUUUGGAGACUGGGGGACUUGAGUGCGGAAGAGGUAAGUGGAAUUCCCAGUGUAGCGGUGAAAUGCGUAGAGAUUGGGAAGAACACCAGUGGCGAAGGCGGCUUACUGGACUGUAACUGACGUUGAGGCUCGAAAGCGUGGGGAGCAAACAGGAUUAGAAACCCUUGUAGUCC